CCCCCCCCCCUCCACCGAGCUCGGCCCUCCGUUUCGUUAGAAAGCCAAAGAAUAAAUAAAGGCAACGGGGAGGGAAGAACGAGAACGCAGCCUGGUGGCCCCCCAGCCCGUCCCCGCCAGACGCAUUCCCUUAUAGUAACAGCUGGUAAUUCAGGCUGCGGAAUACCGCCUAUAUGUAACUAAUAAACCUACUGUGUCUUAACAGGGCAACGCGUGGAGGAGCGCUGUCGCUUAUACAAGAUGUCGAUGGAAUUUACUAUAUAAAAAUUCCCCUUUCAAGAAUAAAGUGUAGCAACUUACAGCACAACAAGCGACAGAGGGAUAAGUGAAACAGACAAAAGACAAACAAGAUAAUAAUCUGUUUCCAAUCAGUUAAGCCCUGUAGAAUUUGUAAUACGCGGUUUGCAUAUUCCCCCUGUGUUUUGUAAUUAAUUGUCUAUCUGUUAGGAUGCUCCUCAGACGACUUUGUUGAUAUUUCCAACUAGUUUUGGUGGAGCCGCCAGGGAGCGCGGAACAGCGCGGAGAGCGGGGACGGGAGCCGAACCCGAUCCGCACCCGUCCGCGGGGCUGUGCGGUGCUGUGCGGUGCUGUGCGGUGCUGUGCGGUGCUCCCGCCGCUCGCGCCCCCAACCCCCUCACCCGGCAAAAGCGGGACAGCGCGGUUUUAACAUUAAACAAACCCAGCAAGCAGCUCCUCGCCGGGCCAUAGGCGUUUCUGAGUGACUGCGUUACAAAUUGUAAAUUUAAAUAGCUCACAGGAUUCAUUACCUCCCGCGUCUGAUUUCACCCAGCCGUGAAAAAUUGUCUUGGUGUACCACUGAGAAAGGGUUUGCUGCAAAGAGCCCCGCUCUAAUCACCCGCUUUCUGUCUCUAACAAAAGUGUAAUAAUUUUGUUUGGAGUGUAACUAUAACCCACGGUACAAAACCAAAACAAAACAAAAAAACAAACCAACCAGAAAGAAAGAAAGAAAGAAAGCUUCCAGCGUCUGAAUGCAUUAAGGAGACGUUUAAAAAGAUAAAUUAAUACCAAGGUUAAAGGGGGGAAGGCAUCUGGGACGUGGAAAUUUCCGCGUGCUACGGGUGGCGGAGGUGAGAGCGCAGAGAGGGUGCACUCCCACUUCCCGACUCCGAGCACAAAGAGCCGCGCAGCGCUGCGCAACGAAACAACCCCCCCCCACCUCCCACCAGGUUCCCCUCUUUUCCCAUCUCGGUGCCGGGGUGCCCCCCCUCCCCCCGCCCCCAGACCCGGGGCUGUUUUGUUGAAGGGUGGAGAAGGGGGUGGUGUGGAGAGAGAAAACAAACAAACAAACAAACGAACAAAUUUCCGCCCCCUCCACGGCCGAACCGCGAUGAGGGACCGGGGGAUUUUCAUUCUUUUUUACCUCUCUCUUUUCUUAAUUUUUACGAAUUGAUUUUUUCCUUCCCUCCGAGCUCCAGCCGCUGUCGGAGGAACUAGAGCCACAAAACGAAUGCCGGCGUCAAGGGCCCCGUUCCCGUCCCUGUUUCCCCGGACCUGGCCUCUCCCUGCUUUCCCUCCUCGGGGUCCCGCUGACCCGCGCCCCGGCUCUGCCGCUCCCUGCGGUGCCGCCGUCGGCUCGGACAAAGUAGGGCUGAGCCACGCGUCUCGCAAUAAACGCAGUGGAGGCUGCCAA